rnacentral:rRNA from 1 species
UGGGGAAUAUUGCACAAUGGAGGGAACUCUCAUGCAGCGACGCCGCGUGAACGAAGAAGGUUUUCGAGUCGUAAAGUUCCUUUACAUGGGAAGAUAAUGACGGUACCAUAAGAAAAAGCCCCGGCUAACUACGUGCCAGCAGCCGCGGUAAUACGUAGGGGGCUAGCGUUGUCCGGAAUCACUGGGCGUAAAGGGUUCGCAGGCGGAAAUGCAAGUCAGGUGUAAAAGGCAGUAGCUUAACUACUGUAAGCAUUUGAAACUGCAUAUCUUGAGAAGAGUAGAGGUAAGUGGAAUUUUUAGUGUAGCGGUGAAAUGCGUAGAUAUUAAAAAGAAUACCGGUGGCGGAGGCGGCUUACUGGGCUCAUUCUGACGCUGAGGAACGAAAGCGUGGGUAGCAAACAGG